rnacentral:rRNA from 1 species
UACGAAGGGGGGCUAGCGUUGUUCGGAAUUACUGGGCGUAAAGCGCACGUAGGCGGAUAUUUAAGUCAGGGGUGAAAUCCCAGAGCUCAACUCUGGAACUGCCUUUGAUACUGGGUAUCUUGAGUAUGGAAGAGGUAAGUGGAAUUGCGAGUGUAGAGGUGAAAUUCGUAGAUAUUCGCAGGAACACCAGUGGCGAAGGCGGCUUACUGGUCCAUUACUGACGCUGAGGUGCGAAAGCGUGGGGAGCAAACAGG